ensembl:misc_RNA 7SK 7SK RNA
AGAAUGUGAUCUGGCUGCAAUAUCUGCCCACCCCAUUGAUCACCAUGGUUGAUUUAGCUGAUAUGGCUGGCUAGGUGGGUUUCCACUUCCUCCCUCAAUGCUCUAUGUGCAUUCCUCCCAAAACUGCACACACAAUGGAAGAGGAUGACCAACCCAGAUAGGAGGAAUGCACCAAUCAAGGGUACAUGAUAGCUGUAGUCCUUUGCCAGGACUUCUAAACAAAUUGGAUGUAGCAAAUCAUAUACAUAAUAUGCAUAUACUAUCACCAAUGCAGUCAUUGGGGUGGUGAU